GUAGUCAUAUGCUUGUCUCAAAGAUUAAGCCAUGCAUGUCUAAGUAUAAGCAACUUUGUACUGUGAAACUGCGAAUGGCUCAUUAAAUCAGUUAUAGUUUAUUUGAUGGUUUUUGCUACAUGGAUAACUGUGGUAAUUCUAGAGCUAAUACAUGCAUUCAAGCCCCGACUUCUGGAAGGGGUGUAUUUAUUAGAUAAAAAUCAACUUUGUUGGCGAAUCAUAAUAACUUCUCGGACCGCAUGGCCUCGUGCUGGCGGUGCUUCAUUCAAAUAUCUGCCCUAUCAACUGUCGAUGGUAGGAUAGAGGCCUACCAUGGUUGCAACGGGUAACGGGGAAUA
rnacentral:rRNA from 1 species